CCUACGGGAGGCAGCAGUGGGGAAUAUUGCGCAAUGGGCGAAAGCCUGACGCAGCGACGCCGCGUGAGGGAUGAAGGUCUUCGGAUCGUAAACCUCUUUCAGCAGGGAAGAACGGUCACUGUGCUAAUCAGCAGUGAAUUGACGGUACCUGCAAAGGAAGCACCGGCUAACUCCGUGCCAGCAGCCGCGGUAAUACGGAGGGUGCGAGCGUUAAUCGGAAUUACUGGGCGUAAAGCGCUCGUAGGCGGUAUGUCAAGUCAAGGGUGAAAUCCCCGCGCUCAACGUGGGAACUGCCUUUGAAACUGGCAGACUGGAGUGUGUGAGAGGAUAGUGGAAUUCCAGGUGUAGGAGUGAAAUCCGUAGAGAUCUGGAGGAACAUCAGUGGCGAAGGCGACUAUCUGGCACAUAACUGACGCUGAGGAGCGAAAGCGUGGGUAGCAAACAGGAUUAGAUACCCGAGUAGUC
rnacentral:rRNA from 1 species